CUUGAGCUACCGCAUAAUUUUGAUUUCAGUCACCAUUCCACCACCAUUGACCUCAGUAUUGUAACUUAAACACCACCACUUCCCAACUAUUUCUUCUCUCCCACUCCCUUCUCGUCGCUGCCGCACCACUACCGAAACUCCUCUACUACCGCUUUCGCACCAUCACCAUCGCCCACUAUUCUUCUUCAUUUUUCAUCCUCUCUUCAUCUAAAUUGGUCAAAAAUAAAUUUAUUAUUUCUUUUUCUCUAUUCUUCUAAGUUAUUUAAUUGAUUACAUACUCACUUUUCCCUUAUUUUGUUUUUUCUUCUUUUAUUUGGCCUGCACUCCUCCACCUAACCAAAAUUCUGAUGAAUCACUAAUCAUUCUGAUCUAGUCGAUUUAGUGAAGGUAACGGUUUAUUCUGUAAUUCUUAAAUAUUUCUUCUCUUUUCACGAAUAAAAAAUAUAGUCUAAUACACUUGAAUAUUAUGUUCUUGAAGAUUGAAUUCGAAUCAAUUGGAUUUGCUCUAAGACAAACAAAAUUUUGGACUUCUUUUUGAAAAAGGGUGAGUUUUUAAUCCAAUUUUAUAAGAGGUUAUUUUGUGUGUGACUAAUUGUAACAAAUGCAACUUUGGUAAUGUACCAUUAUCAUUUGUUUAGAUCAUGGAAGAUCUGACUUGAUCUACACCAUUGAUAGUUGAGGAGUUGUUUUAGUGUUAAGAGAUCCGUAAUCCAGGUGUGGGUUUAAACAAAUAAAAUUUGUGCAUUUAUUUAAUGCUAAUUAUUUAUGAUUAAUAUAUGUAUAAUAUGCUCCAAAAUGUGAUUAAGUGAUGGUUGGGAAGUACUAAAAUGAUUAUUGAUUUUGAGCCUAAGGCAAGUGCUCUAAGUUGAUUUCUGUGAUGAUUGAUUUGUUGUAUUACAAUAAAAUAUGUUAUGAUUUGACACUCAUGUUUUGUGAUAUUAUAGCACGAUUUUGUUUAUGUUAAUCUAAUCUCUAAUGCGAGAUGAGUUUCUAAAAUCACCAUAUUUGAUCUUAUGUUAAGCAUGCCUACUGUCUUGAUUAUGUUUCUGUAUGCCACAUCGCAUUGCAUGGGGUUAGGGAAAUAACGAAAGGAGGAAGUUUCUGGCAGUUUAAUGAUCUACAUAUUCUGGUGGUAUAUCCACAUAUUUUGGUAGCUUGUCCACAUAUUUUUCUAAUCUAGCAUCUUGUUUGCAACAUCUGGUGGUUUUCCACAAUUUUGGCGUGUUAUUGGAUGGAUAAGUUUUGGGGAACCCUUUUAUGGUGUGUAGUGGAGUUGGGUAGGAGCUUUUCUAAAAAUUUUGCAAUGAUUUAUAAAAAGCUUUGCAUUGACAUCAUCAUGCAUAUUGAUAUAUGUGAAAUUGGACUACUUAUAUAUUUUCUGCUAUAUUCUGGAAUGUAUGCUUUAAUUAUUGUUUGUUACUUAAGUUAAAAUCUCACACUUGGCUUAUUUAGCUCACUCUGUAUUUCUUUGACAUUUAAAAUAAUCUCUGAGGUUAGGAAUUGGACGCAGUUGUCAGAAGGUACUUGGUGUAACAGCCUACUUUUCUGUGGUGUCAGAAACAGUAGUUUUCGAGGCCACCUAAUUCGACGAGAAAGUUCAUAAACAUUAUUAUUCAAUAUUUAUCAGUCAAAUAUGGUUGUUAAAAAGGUUUUUGAUUUGAGAAAUUAUGAUUUAUAAGUGAUUUAUUAAGUUCAAGUGUUAUGACCCUAAGGUUAAGUGGUUUUAGAAAAUGAGGUAUCGAGGUCUCGUUUCUAUAAACCAAGCUGUAAAUAUUUUUAUAAAUAUUUACGGAGUGUCAUUAAGGUGGUAUUAAAGUUUCGUUGAAAAAUUUUAACUUUCGAUGGCUAAUUAAUUAUAAAGGACUAAAUUGUAAAAAAUGAAAAAUUUUGAUCACUACUUGAUUUGAGUGAUUAAAUGGUUAAUUGAAUAAAAGAAAAGGGACUUAAAUGGUAACUAGACCAUUCAAGAGGGUAGUGGAAAAAUAUGGACAUGAAUUUGGUGUUUUAUUUAUCUAUUAACCAAGGGUUAAAUGGUAAUUUGAUCAUUAAUUAAAUUAUAAUAAAAACAUAAGUAAAAUAUAUGGUUGUCAUCUUCCUUUCUCUAUUGUUUUUUCAACAGAAAGCCAUGGUCAUGAAAGCUAGGUUCG
rnacentral:lncRNA from 1 species